UUCUUGCCCUGAAUAUGAUGCAGUGUAAGGCAUAAGGCAUCUUUCUCAGCAUGAGGGUUUGGUUGCACCAGGGACUCUUAUUUAUUAAUUUAUUUUUAACCGUACACACUUCCAGUGAUGCCUGUGGCCAUACUUGUGCGUGGGGCUGGCUUGCUCCUUUGGGUGCUAUUUAAAGGGAGUGAGGUGAUGAAAGAUAGAGUGAAGGGUCAGGAGGUUAAAAAACAAAAUUAAGACUGUUCAUAAUAUAUGUUUAUUAUUUAAACUGCUAAGUAUCUGCUAACUAAAUUUUUAAAAUAAGGAAAAAGGUUUACACACACACACACACACACACACACACACACACAUUUUUCUAGUUCCCAUAGUUACCAUUUCCAAUAUUCAUUUCUUUGUGUAAAUCUGAGUUUUCAUUUUGGAAGCAUUGUUCUUUAGCAUGAAAAUUUUCCUUUAACAUUUUUUAGGGUGGUUUUGCUUGUAAUAAAUUCUCUCAGCUUUUGCUUGCUUAGAAAUUACCUUAUUUCACCUUCACUUUUGAAGGAUGUUUUCACUGGAGAUAGAGUUUUAGGUUGACACUUUUUUCUUUUAAGCACAUUAAAUAUGUCAUUUCACUAUGUUCUGUCUUGCAUCAUUUCUGAUUUGUGGUCAUUCUAAUCUCCUUUCACUGUUCAGAAUGUGGCUAUUCUUUUUCUGGCAGUAUUUAAGAUUUUCUCUUUAUCCCUGGUUUUCAGCAAUUCGAUUAUUGUGUGCCAUGGUGUGGUUUCCUUUUGUUUAUUCUGUUUGGGGUUUGUUGAGUUUCUCAAAUCUGUUGGUUUAUAGUUCUCAUUAAAUUUGGAAACUUUUAGCUGUGUUUUUCAUUUUUAUAAAUUAGAAUUUUUUUCUCAGAUUUGCCUUUUUAAAAAAUUUUCUUUCAACUUGAUUUAUUACCUGUUUACUUCUCCUGUUUAUUGUGCCUGAUGAAUCUCAUUAUGUUGCUGUUACUGUUGCAAUUUCUUCUCCCUCUUGUCCUCUUCCUAUUCUUCUUUUUGAGAGUUGUUUUCCAAGACAGUAUUUGAUGCUCUAUGCUAUUGAGGUAGCUCUAUUGGGCAACUUAAAAUGUACUUUUCCUAAGACCCUGUAGGCAUUACCAAUACUAGACCAGCUAUUAUAUUCAUUUUCUGCUUAUAAGUCCUUCCCUAGGAGUGGGGUAAAAAUGUAAACUCCAUAUCUCCCACUGCAUAGACUUGGGCUUCCAAUGUCUUAUAGAUGAAUCUUUUAUCAUAUAUUGCUCAGACUGGUUACUUGGAUUCGAAGCUGCAUCCUACCAGGCACAGAGUAUUAUUCAGGGGAUCAGUUUCAGUUCAUUGUGCUUAAGGGUGAGGAUCCUAAAACUCCUCUCCUAGGCAUUUAUGCUUAUAUCCACAUCUGAUUUCCCUGCAGGCCACUUGCCUUGUAUUUUUGGAUCCCACUGUGACUCUGGGUUUCCUUUUUAUUUUUGAAUGGUGCAGAUUUUCCUUUCUUACUUUGAAGCUCAAGUGUAUGUGUGUGUGUGUGUGUGUUUAAAUAUGUAAAAUAUUUGCCGUCAUAGGAGUUUACUUCAAAAACUAUACUAACUGAAAUUCUAAUAUGAAUUCUUCAUUCUUAAAUAUGAAUGGGAAAACCAAGAAUCACUAAAUAUUUGAAGGAUAAAAUAUGACAUGAGGUUAAUUCUAAGGCAAAAAAAAGAGAAAAAUAGUGAUGCCAAAGGAAAUAGAGAUAUUCAAGAAGAAUAGAGGGGCAACACCUUUAUUAAUAUCCUCUGAGACAUGUGGGCUAACAUUUCAUCCACAAAGUAAUAGGAUACAAUGAAAAGGGAAGAGUCAGAGAAUAAGAAUGAGAUCUUGAUGAGCAAAAUAUUAUGGACAAAAUGAAACAGUCUGUAGAAGAAUUAGAAGUAACACAUAAAGGAGACAAACAUGAAAAUAUGAGAGACAAGGUAAGUGACAGAAGACCAAUGCAGGAGCUCUAAUAGUCAAUUGAUAGAAGUUACACAAAGAAAAGAAAGAAAAUGAAUGAAAGAAAAUGUUCAAAUAAAUCAUGGGACACAGUUUUGAAGAGCUGAAGGCCAUCAAAUAUUCGACAUGAUAAAUAUAAAUAAAAGGAAAAAAUAAUUGUGAUUUUAGAACAUUAAGGUAAAUAACUGAAAGCUUUCUGAGAAUGAAAAACUGAUAAAUCAGAUAAAUAUAGUACCUCUGUAGGACUGACCUGUUAUUGUGAUGCCAGAUGAUGGUAUAGAAAUGCUUUCAAAGUUCUGAUGAAAAUGAUUUCAACUUGAAAUUCUAUACUUUGGCAAAAUAUGAAAUAAAUGUGAGACGAAAGUAAAUAUAUUUUCAGACAUGAAAGAGUUAGAAAUCUAUUCCCCAGAAUGAUCCAUCUUUUCUCAUGCUCAGCAAUAGAAAACAAUUUUUACUGAGACACAUCCCAGCUAGCUAAAUAUUAUAUUUUUCUGCCUCUCUUGCAGCUAUGAGUGGCUACAUAACCAUGUUCUUGCCAAUUAUUUGUAGUGGAUGUG
rnacentral:lncRNA from 1 species